rnacentral:rRNA from 1 species
CUUAGUGGCGAACGGGUGAGUAACACGUGAAGAACCUGCCCUUCAGUGGGGGACAACAGUUGGAAACGGCUGCUAAUACCGCAUAAGCGCACAGUACCGCAUGGUACCGUGUGAAAAACUCCGGUGGUAUGAGGUGGACCCGCGUCUGAUUAGCUAGUUGGUGGGGUAACGGCCUACCAAGGCGACGAUCAGUAGCCGACCUGAGAGGGUGACCGGCCACAUUGGGACUGAGACACGGCCCAAACUCCUACGGGAGGCAGCAUG